AUAUAAGCAAUGAACAAGCGCAGUAGUGGUUGUCCACGGGAGAAAGAAGAGAAUUGUCGGUCGGUGCAAGACAAUCCCCCACAUCCGCGAAGUACACUUGGGAGCAAUCCGUCAGGACGUCUCAUCCGCGAUAAGGAUGCUCGAGUGGAUGAUGCCUCGCAUCGUCAACAAGGGUGGUAACACGGUGAAAAUCGUCCCUAAU
rnacentral:ncRNA from 1 species